rnacentral:rRNA from 1 species
GAUGAACGCUGGCGGCAGGCCUAACACAUGCAAGUCGAGCGGAUGAGAAGAGCUUGCUCUUCGAUUCAGCGGCGGACGGGUGAGUAAUGCCUAGGAAUCUGCCUGGUAGUGGGGGACAACGUCUCGAAAGGGACGCUAAUACCGCAUACGUCCUACGGGAGAAAGCAGGGGACCUUCGGGCCUUGCGCUAUCAGAUGAGCCUAGGUCGGAUUAGCUUGUUGGUGAGGUAAUGGCUCACCAAGGCGACGAUCCGUAACUGGUCUGAGAGGAUGAUCAGUCACACUGGAACUGAGACACGGUCCAGACUCCUACGGGAGGCAGCAGUGGGGAAUAUUGGACAAUGGGCGAAAGCCUGAUCCAGCCAUGCCGCGUGUGUGAAGAAGGUCUUCGGAUUGUAAAGCACUUUAAGUUGGGAGGAAGGGCAGUCAGCGAAUACCUGGUUGUUUUGACGUUACCGACAGAAUAAGCACCGGCUAACUCUGUGCCAGCCGCCGCGGUAA